CAAAACUCGACCGUGUGGACGGGGCCUUAGAGAGCAUUCAGUAUUACCCAUAAGUGGUAAGUGUCCUAAAUAUGAUUCACCUUUACAAGUGGCUCAGCCACAACCUUCCACGUCUUCAUCGUCAGGUUCCAUUUAAGUUUUCCCAUAAUGGUCGAAACUGUAACUUUACCGAAUAAACUUAUACCACGUCCAAAAACUGCCUUGUUGAUGCAACGAGUUGGAACUAAUAGGACGGAAGUAACUGAAGCAUUUUAAAAGGAGCGAGGUUAGUUACAGCUGCAAGGUCCCAUACAGCUACUGUGAAUGCAGAGUACUGUCCUUCAGCAAUCAACUUCGUCCUACUGCAGACUUCGACAAUUAAUCCUCGAAGUUUCCUGAAGGAAAUCUUUUCAAGUGGCAGAGACUGAUCCCACAAUAAAAGUAAAUUCCCCAUACCUGCACAGACUGCCAAUAGUCUCAAUAAAUUAUCUGGUGAUGAGCGAACCAGCUCUGUACAAUUGGAGCGGCUGGAAUUAUUAUUGCCUGAACACUGGGCAAUAAAAUCACUGCUAGAGAUUCACUGAUAGCUGGAGCAGGACAAGUGAAGUCAAUGAAGAUACGUUUGAUAAGAGCAAGAAAGGUCAUUUAGAUAAGUUUGAGAGUACCAACAAGUCAAGAGAAACUGAGCAGCAAGGAAGGUCACUGCAGUUACGUUUGAGGGUAGCAAGUAGAGAAUAUGUGCAUCAAGAAACGUCACUACAAUUACGCUGGAGGGUACCAAGUAGAGAGAAACUGAGCAGCAAGGAAGGUCACUACAGUUAGUUUGAGAUUGGCAACAAGUCAAGAGAAACUGAACAGCAAGGAAAGACACUACAUAUAGACGUUUGAGGUUAGCAACACGUUAAGAGGAAGAAAGUGGUGCAGUGAAAGAACCGUUGGAUACAAGUUAGGAGAUUCUUACAGACGACUCUGAAAAAAGCAGGUCCAAGCUUUCUCCUGCCAGUGUAGAAGGAACGAAAGUUGCUAUAUCUUAGUAUAGCACUUAUAAGCUACUGAAACUUGUAACACCUGUACGUAAAAUGUAAAUAAA